AUUGAACGCUGGCGGCAUGCUUUACACAUGCAAGUCGAACGAGUGGCGAACGGGUGAGUAAUAUAUUGGAACGUACCGAGUAAUGGGGGAUAACCACUCGAAAGAUUGGCUAAUACCGCAUAUUAUUCGAGCGGCCCAUAUCUGAUUAGCUAGUUGGUGGGGUAAAGGCUUACCAAGGCGACGAUCACUAGCGGGUCUGAGAGGAUGAACCGCCACACGGGGACUGAGACACGGCCCAGACUCCUACGGGAGGCAGCAGUGGGGAAUAUUGGACAAUGGGCGCAAGCCUGAUGCAGCCAUGCCGCGUGUCUGAAGAAGGCCUUCGGGUUGUAAAGGACUUUUGUUAGGGAAGCGGUACCUAAAGAAUAAGCACCGGCUAACUCCGUGCCAGCAGCCGCGGUAAUUC
rnacentral:rRNA from 1 species